CUUAAGGUUUUAUCCACAAAUCUACUGCAAGACAAUGACAAUGGGAAUUAUUAUCUGAAAUCAGGUUUGGGAAGAGUCCUUGACCUCAGCCCCAACUGGCCCAUCCACAAAAUGCAAUGCUUUCCAGACACAAAAACCUUUGGACGGCUCUACCUGAAUGGAUGUAGACCCAUCCCCUAGACAUAUUAGGUGACAAAUGGAGUAUUUAUUAUGUUACCAUUUGUGUAAAAAGAAAAAGAGAGAGAGAGAGAGCACAGACAUUUCUGAACUUGUAACAGAUUGGUAUAUAUAGAGAAAGGAGACCUGUAUUUCAUUAUAUACCUUUUUGUUGUUUUUCCACUUUUAGAAGGUACAUAAAUCAUCUAUUCAAAAAUUAAUUUUAAGAAAACUAAAGAAAGCACUUAGGUAAUCAAUACUCUUCAAUUGACUGAUUGAUCUUGGCCUUCCAAGGAGGACUUAGAGAUGAGAACUGAAGAAGGGCGUGCUUUUAGAGGGAUACAUCUGAUCUCCUGGGGAAGGUUUUAGUGUCAGAGUGGGCCUGGGAUAAGGAGAGUGGAAAAGGUGUCAACAGACACCCAGAGACACUUGAAAGAAUCUGUGAAGUACUUAAGUUCUUUGACACUUAGGAAAUUACAUCUUAGCUGUGAUAGAUGUGAGAAUGUGCUGGUUGAGAAAGCCCAGGGCAGUUACCUCUGGUCUGGAGCUGGUCCAAGGAGUCCCCUCUGCAGUCUGGGAGGGUUAGGUCAACGCCAUGCACGUCUUCAACGAAGGCUGUUUGUCUUUUUCUGGAAGGGGCACGCUGGGGGAGAGGGGAAGCACAGAGGUUCUGAGCCUAGGCCAAGUGAGGAGGAGUUGGAGGUUUUGGAUUGAGGCUCUGUGACCCCUUAUCUCCAGUACCUCAUUGCCAUCUUGGUGGGCAGUGGGGUUUAUUCUCUAGGAAAUGUCCCAGGUCUGACCCACACCGUCAGGCCAGACUCCAUUUGGGAUUGAAUCCUAAUAAAAUCUUACUCUGGGAAGCAACCUCUCCCGAGUUGUUACUUCCUGGUUAUUUGUUCUUGAAUUGCUUCAAUCAUGUUAAAACCGGGCUUGCCCUUAGCUCUGAAUGAAGACAAAGAGAGGUCAAGAGAAAAGGAGGGACAGGUGUUAGUUAAAGCCAAAUCACUGAUGGCUUAUGACGUGCCUUUCACUUUAGCCCUCUAUCAGCAGUGUUUCUAGUGACCUGGAGUAACCGAGGGGGAAAGACCCAGAUUAGCAUCCCAACUCCACCAUCAUCAGGCCAACAACCUGGGUUAAUUGAGCCAGGGUCCUCCUGGGUAAAGGGAGACACCAUGGCUGCUUCGGUGUCAUAGUUAGGAAAGGAUGAGAGCCUCUGUGCAACUUAAUCAGCAUUUUUCGAGCAACGAUUAUGGGAUAGGAAGAGAAGUAAAGCAAUCUUGUGCUAAAGGGCCUCAGUGACAAUCAGAGAGGUAUUAAGUUGAGCUGUGGACUGAUCCAGGGAAAGAGAAAAGAAUGUAGAUUUGCAGAGAAUAAAAAACAAAAACACAUUCCCCCUCCCCGAGCUCUCCACCACACUGCCCUCAUUUAUCUUCUUCAUAGCAUUUGUCAGUGUUUUGUUUCUAUGCUGGGGCCAGUCCUCCUCCUCCUCCAGAACACAGUCUGCUGCAAAGCCCGACAUCUGCCUUGUUUCCUGCUACAUCUCCUGUACCUAAGGUCCUUCUCUUCCUGUCCCCUUCUUUCUCUUUUCCUUCUUAGUUUUCGAGGGAGGCGAGGGGUUAGGACUUUUGAUUGGAUUUUAAGAUUAUGAUAACUUCAGAAUUGUUUCAGAGGAAAAAAAAAAAAAAAAAAAAAAAGAAGUUCCCUGGUGGCUCAGCCGAUUAAGGAUUCGGUGUCACCACUGCUGUGGCUAUUGGUCACUGCUGGUGCGGGUUCUCUGGGAUCUCUGGCCCCGGGAACUUUCACAUGCUGUGGGCGGGGCCAAAACAUGUUUCAGAGAUUUUUAGUAUUUUUCCCCAAGUCCUAUGGCCUGAAAUAUAGUUGUCCCUUGGUAUCCACAGGAGAUUGGUUCCAGGACCCGCCAUGGCACGGACACUCAAGUCACACAGUCAGCCCUAUGUAUCCAAGGUCCCAAACAGAUAUGAAAAACCUUGAGUCAUGUAAUACUGUAUUUACUUAUUUAUUUUGCCUUUUAGGGCCACACCUGAGGCAUAUGGAAGUUCCUAGGCUAGGGGUCGAAGUGGAGGUACAACUGCCUGUCUGCACCCCAGCCGCAGCAAUGCCAGAUUCGAGCCUGAUCUGCAACCCACACCGAGGCUCACAGCAACACCGGAUCCGUAACCCACUGAGCGAGGCCAGGGAUUGAACCUGCAUCCUCAUGGAUACUAGCUGGAACUGACUGUAAAAUCAUGGACAUCCAUCCAAUGGAAAAUAAUUAAAUUAUUAUAAAAAUGUAGACCUAUAAUUGAUAUGAGAAGUUACAUGUUUAAGUGAAAAGGGAAGAAUAUAAAAUAUUCUGUAUAGUAUUUAAUUUGGAGGGGACUAACUCUGCCUCAUAUCUGUACAUGUACAUUUACAUGCAAAAUUUUUCUGAAAGUAUAAAUCCCAAAAUACUAAUAGGGCUUAACUCUGGGUGGCUGGAUGAAAGAUAUUCUUGAAAAAAACACCCUCCCAGAAUUCCCGUUGUGGCACAGUGGGUUAAUGAUCCAGUUUGUCUCUGCGGUGUGGCCGGUUCGAUCCCCAGCCUGGUGCAAUGGGUUAAAGGAUUUGGCGUUGACACAGUUGUGGCUGUAGGUUGCAGAUACAGCUCAGACUCGGAUUCGAUCCCUGGCCAGGGAACUUCCAUAUGCUGCUGAUGCAGCAGAAGAAGGAAAACACACAAACACACAAAACAAAAUUCCUCUCCAACCUAUAACAACAUUAAUACAAAACAAACUGCUACAUACACCAAUCUCAUCAGCUUAGGAUAUAGCAAGGCCAUAACAUAAGCAGAUAAGUUAGGAAUUCCCCAGAGAAAGAAAACCAGGAAUGGCUUUCUUGAAAUAAGAGAAGCUAUUUUGUGAUCUAAGCCUGGCUGCCGUGCUUGCCCUUGAAUGAGUCCCAGUAAUUAAUGAUCUUAGGGAACAAAGCGAUGCAGGAACAGAGAAAAGGCAGCCAAACAAUAGUGCAGUGAUAAAGCAGAGUCUUAGUUCCUCCUCAAGGGACUUACACACUCAAAGUUCCUUUGAGUUCUGCAGGAACUAAGGCCCCUCCCAGGUGGAGGACAGAAUGAGGAUGUUGACCUUCUGACUUCAAUCAACUAAAACCUGGACUCUGUCGACCUUUGACCCAACUCUAAGGAAUUCUUCUACACUCGAGUUCCUUCAUGGAUGUGCAUGUACCCUUAACUUAAAACUUACCCAGUUUUGUUGUUUGGAGAGACACUAUUUUGGAGAAGAUUCCCUAUGGGGUCUCCUUACCUGGUGCACAUAACAACGAGUCCAUCCUUUACCUUUGGCUUCGUUGUGUCUGUUGGCCUGACACUCAACCAAGAGGCAAACCCAGCUUUUGAGUGACAAUAACAUUUAAUACUCAAAUGAAUAUGUUUAUAUUCCUUUAAAAAUAUAUAUUCCAUUAUAUGAAAAGUUCACUUUGCUCCGGAGGUUCUCUUCUCUGAUAGUUCUUGGAACCACCUCCCCACAAGAUCUACUUACUAAAUUCAAAGGGCUCAUUUCAGGACACCAUUGAUUUCCCCCCCUCUGGUCCCUUGGCUAAGUUUACUGUAUCUGUUCUCUUCUUUUACAAAAUUAAAAACCUGAAAAGCCAAGCCCAAGUGACAGCUUGAAUCUCUCUGUUCAUGAAGACAGAAGUCUCAGGCUGGCUGUUUUAUUUUUUGUUUGUUUGUUUAAGCAAGACUUUUCUGGCUACACCCACAGCAUGUGGAAGUUCCUGGACCAGGGAUUGAACCCAUGCCACUGCAGUAACAACACCAGAUCCUUAACCUGCUGAGCCACCAGAAAACUCCCAAGCAAGAUUUUCAUGAUGAAGCAGUAUGUUUCUGCACCUUCUGGUGUACGCUCCUUAUCUCAUAGUAGGCUACUAACAGUUCCAUCACUUGCAGAAGCACUGCAUCAAAGGGCAGAUAGAACCCAGAGGCAAAUCCCUGGGGCCCACUGCUUUUUCAAAUGAGUUCCUGUCGUGGUGCAGCAGAAACAAAUCUGACUAGGAACCAUGAAGUUGCAGGUUGGAUCCCUGGCCUCACUGGGUGGGUUAAGGAUCCCGUGUUGCUGUGAGCUGUGGUGUAGUUCGAAGAUUCGGUUCGGAUCUGGUGUUGCUGUGGCUGUGGCGUAGGCUGGCAGCUACAGCUCCAAUUUGACCCCUAGCCUGGGAACUUCUAUAUGCCACAGGUGUGGCCCUAAAGAAAAAAAAAAAAAAGACGUCCUAUGUGUAAAGAGUUGUGCUAGAAAACUGUUAGAUAAAAACUUCAAUGUAUGAUUUUUUUUUUUCAACUUGCAUAAACAGGAGUCAAAGCUUUUUGGGGAAAAAAAAAAAAAAAAACCCUACUGAAAGUAGGAUCUUAGGUAGUAAACAAUGAAUAAGAAAAGACUCUAGAGGGUCAUAACAGCCUUCCCAGCUUCCUUGAAACUAUACUGAUCUCCUACUGAGCAGGCCAGGACAGAGAGGCCUGGAUGCUGCAGCCUGAUAUGUCUGCUGUGCUCCUGUUGGGGGAGCAGCCCACGGUCAAGACCUCCUCACCUAGUUGUUUAGUUUAUGAACAUUCAUAUUCAAUAUUACGUUCACCAGUUCACCCGAGUAUAAGAAGUACAUCACUUGAGGUUCCCAUCCUAAUUCUACUUUUCAUCACUAAGUGGUUCUGGACAAGUUACUCAGGCACUCUGA
rnacentral:lncRNA from 1 species